rnacentral:rRNA from 1 species
CAGUCGAACGGAUAUCUUCGGAUAUGAGUGGCGAACGGGUGAGUAACACGUAGCGAACCUGCCUGCAUGAGCGGGAGAACUUCUGGAAACGGAAGCUGAUACCGGAUGAGCAAAGAGGAGGCAUCUUCUUUUUGGAAAAGGGGACAAGAGUCCCGCAUGCAGAUGGACCUGCGGUGCAUUAGCUGGUUGGAGAGGUAACGGCUCACCAAGGCGACGAUGCAUAGCCGGCCUGAGAGGGCGGACGGCCACACUGGGACUGAGACACGGCCCAGACUCCUGCGGGGGGCAGCAGUAGGGAAUUUUCGUCAAUGGGGGGAACCCUGAACGAGCAAUGCCGCGUGAGCGAGGAAGGUCUUCGGAUCGUAAAGCUCUGUUGCCGGGGACAAAAGGCAGAAAGAGUGGAAAGCUUUCUGAGUGAUGGUACCCGGCGAGGAAGUCACGGCUAACUACGUGCCAGCAGCCGCGGUAAUACGUAGGUGGCGAGCGUUAUCCGGAAUGAUUGGGCGUAAAGGGUGCGCAGGCGGCCGGGCAAGUCCGCAGUAAAAACUGGAGGCUCAACCUUCAGGGGCUGCGGAAACUGUCCGGCU